AUUGAACGCUGGCGGCAGGCCUAACACAUGCAAGUCGAGCGGAUGAAUGGAGCUUGCUCCUGGAUUCAGCGGCGGACGGGUGAGUAAUGCCUAGGAAUCUGCCUGGUCGUGGGGGAUAACGUCCGGAAACGGGCGCUAAUACCGCAUACGUCCUGAGGGAGAAAGUGGGGGAUCUUCGGACCUCACGCUAUCAGAUGAGCCUAGGUCGGAUUAGCUAGUUGGUGGGGUAAAGGCCUACCAAGGCGACGAUCCGUAACUGGUCUGAGAGGAUGAUCAGGCACACUGGAACUGAGACACGGUCCAGACUCCUACGGGAGGCAGCAGUGGGGAAUAUUGGACAAUGGGCGAAAGCCUGAUCCAGCCAUGCCGCGUGUGUGAAGAAGGUCUUCGGAUUGUAAAGCACUUUAAGUUGGGAGGAAGGGCAGUAAGUUAAUACCUUGCUGUUUUGACGUUACCAACAGAAUAAGCACCGGCUAACUUCGUG
rnacentral:rRNA from 1 species